AUUGAACGCUGGCGGCAUGCUUUACACAUGCAAGUCGAACGGCAGCACGGGUGCUUGCACCUGGUGGCGAGUGGCGGACGGGUGAGUAAUACAUCGGAACGUGUCCUGAAGUGGGGGAUAACGCAUCGAAAGAUGUGCUAAUACCGCAUAUACUCUAAGGAGGAAAGUAGGGGAUCGGAAGACCUUAUGCUUUUGGAGCGGCCGAUGUCUGAUUAGCUAGUUGGUAAGGUAAUGGCUUACCAAGGCGACGAUCAGUAGUUGGUCUGAGAGGACGACCAGCCACACUGGGACUGAGACACGGCCCAGACUCCUACGGGAGGCAGCAGUGGGGAAUUUUGGACAAUGGGCGCAAGCCUGAUCCAGCAAUGCCGCGUGAGUGAAGAAGGCCUCGGUU
rnacentral:rRNA from 1 species